AUGCCACCUCCAGUUAGGGACAACAACCCUCCAUUCUGUGACAUUAACCGUUCCUUGGGUUCCGUGGGAUAUCAGUACCGGGCAUUAUCCAGUCUAGAGGCAAGAGCUGGACCCACAUCACCAUCUGUCUUCCCCCUCACCUCCUGUGUCGGAGAAGCCACCACCUCCCAGGUCACCUUUGGCUGCCUGGUCAAAGACUAUACCCCUGAGUCGGUCACCGUGCAAUGGUGCCCCAGUGUCAGCACCUCAGGCCUGAGAACCUACCCCUCCAUGCUGCAAACUUCCAGCGGCCUCUACUCGCUCAGCAGCCAGGUCACCGUCCCAGCCAGCAGCUGGGAAUCCAACACCUAUCGCUGCACCGUCGGGCACCAGCCCACCAGCUUCAGCCUCUCCAGGCCGAAGCCAGAAUCCUUCAAACCCCAGCCACCCAUGGUUCAAGUCUACCACUCCUGCACCACCAAGCCAAGCACCAUCCACCUGCUCUGCCUCAUCUCUGGCUUCAACCCCCCACCCGUGACGGUGGAGUGGCUGGUGGACGGUGUGUCUGGGAAGCUUCAGGGCAGCACGGCCCCUGCCAAGAUGGACGCUGGAGGCCAAACCUUCAGCACCCACAGCAACGUCAGCAUCUCCCAGAAAGACUGGAUGGAGGACAAGACGUACACAUGCAGGGUGUCCCACCAGCGCACCAAGACCACGGUGGAGGAUAACGCCCACAAGUGCAAAGACGUAACUCAAUGUAGCAGACGCAUCCUCGUCUUCAUGGUGCCCCCAGAACCUUCUGAACUCUAUGCGGGUGGCAGCCCCAUGCUCAUCUGCCUGGUCGUCAACCUACCUAACAGCACUAACCUGACAGUGGUCUGGUCCCAGGAGAAGUCAGGGCCUGUUAGCUCCGAACCACUCACCUUUUCUGAGCAGAGCAACCGCACCUUCACCGCCUCCAGUAUCCUGCCCAUCUCCGAGAGUGACUGGGAAAAAGGAGAAAAUUACACCUGCAAAGUGGAGCACUCGGAGCUGCCCUCACCUAUCAUCAAAUCCAUCUCCAAGCAGCAAGGCAAGAAUUCCUCACCUUGUGUCUACCUCCUGCACCCACACACUGAGGAGCUGAGCAACAAUGGAGACUCCGUCAGCCUCACCUGCAUGGUGCGGGGCUUCUACCCUGAGCACAUCUCAGUGAAGUGGAUGGAGAACAAAAUAUCCAGCGACAGCGACAAAUCGGUCACCACCUCUCCUAUGAAGGAAGGAGACGGCGACUCAACCUACUUCCUCUAUAGCAAGAUGACAAUCAACAAGGCCAGCUGGAACAAUGGGACCAUCUACACCUGCAUGGUCAUCCACGAAGCCCUGAAACCAAAUAAAUUCAUUCUAUGCAACAUCUGUAAUGUCCCCGGCAAGAAUUCCUCACCUUGUGUCUACCUCCUGCACCCACACACUGAGGAGCUGAGCAACAAUGGAGACUCCGUCAGCCUCACCUGCAUGGUGCGGGGCUUCUACCCUGAGCACAUCUCAGUGAAGUGGAUGGAGAACAAAAUAUCCAGCGACAGCGACAAAUCGGUCACCACCUCUCCUAUGAAGGAAGGAGACGGCGACUCAACCUACUUCCUCUAUAGCAAGAUGACAAUCAACAAGGCCAGCUGGAACAAUGGGACCAUCUACACCUGCAUGGUCAUCCACGAAGCCCUGAAACCAAAUAAAUUCAUUCUAUGCAACAUCUGUAAUGUCCCCGAGGCGAUCAUGUCUGGUGAGGUUUGCACCGAGGACAGCGACGAGGAUCUUGACAGCCUCUGGAGCAUCAUCUUGGUCUUCGUCACCCUCUUCCUCCUGAGUGUGUGCUACAGCGCCAUGGUGACCCUGUUCAAGAUGAAGUGGCUUUUUGUCACCGUGGUGCAGCUGAAGCAGAUGAGCAGCCCGAGUACAAGAAUGUGA